rnacentral:tRNA from 1 species
UCCCUGGUAGCUCAGUUGGUAAGGAAUCUGCCUGCAAUGCAGGAGACCCUGGUUCAAUUCUUGGGUGGGGAA